GGGGAAUAUUGCACAAUGGGCGAAAGCCUGAUGCAGCAACGCCGCGUGAGCGAUGAAGGCUUUCGGGUCGUAAAGCUCUGUCCUAAGGGAAGAUAAUGACGGUACCUUAGGAGGAAGCCCCGGCUAACUACGUGCCAGCAGCCGCGGUAAUACGUAGGGGGCAAGCGUUAUCCGGAAUCAUUGGGCGUAAAGGGUGCGUAGGCGGCCCUAUGGGUCAGAGGUUAAAGGCUACGGCUCAACCGUAGUAAGCCUUUGAAACUGUAGGGCUUGAGUGCAGGAGAGGAGAGUGGAAUUCCUAGUGUAGCGGUGAAAUGCGUAGAUAUUAGGAGGAACACCAGUGGCGAAGGCGACUCUCUGGACUGCAACUGACGCUGAGGCACGAAAGCGUGGGUAGCGAAC
rnacentral:rRNA from 1 species